UACGAAGGGGGCUAGCGUUGCUCGGAAUCACUGGGCGUAAAGCGCACGUAGGCGGAUCGUUAAGUCAGGGGUGAAAUCCUGGAGCUCAACUCCAGAACUGCCCUUGAUACUGGCGAUCUUGAGUUCGGGAGAGGUGAGUGGAACUGCGAGUGUAGAGGUGAAAUUCGUAGAUAUUCGCAAGAACACCAGUGGCGAAGGCGGCUCACUGGCCCGAUACUGACGCUGAGGUGCGAAAGCGUGGGGAGCAAACAGG
rnacentral:rRNA from 1 species